rnacentral:rRNA from 1 species
AGUGAACGCUGGCGGCAGGCCUAACACAUGCAAGUCGAACGGCAGCACGGCAGUAGCAAUACUGUGGGUGGCGAGUGGCGGACGGGUGAGGAAUACAUGGGAAUCUACCCUGUCGUGGGGGAUAACGUAGGGAAACUUACGCUAAUACCGCAUACGACCGAGAGGUGAAAGCGGCGGACCGCAAGGCGUCGCGCGAUUGGAUGAGCCCAUGUGGGAGUAGCUAGUUGGCGGGGUAAAGGCCCACCAAGGCGACGACCCGUAGCUGGUCUGAGAGGAUGAUCAGCCACACUGGAACGGCGACACGGUCCAGACUCCUACGGGAGGCAGCAGUGGGGAAUAUUGGACAAUGGGCGCAAGCCUGAUCCAGCCAUGCCGCGUGAGUGAAGAAGGCCUUCGGGUUGUAAAGCUCUUUUGUCCGGAAAGAAAAGCUCUCGGUUAAUACCCGGGGGUGAUGACGGUACCGGAAGAAUAAGCACCGGCUAACUUCGUGCCAGCCGCCGCGGUAA